UUCUACUUCAAUAACAAAUGUUGGUUUGGUUCAAAAUAAUCCAUAGUUAUGUUCAAAUAUCCUCUGUUUUGUUCGUGCGUUCAAGACACUAUCCGAAUGGUAAAGAAGGGUGACGCGCACGACGCAUUUCGUGACAAAAAAUGUCUAAAUAUUCCAUUACCGUACUUCGAAGCAUGUCAACCGCUGUUUAAAAUCAAUUUUUAUGCCAUUUUUCUCGUAAAAAAGCGAUAAUAUUCCGACCGGGAAAGCGUGUUUACGUUCAAAGACGAAAGAAAAUAAAACAUGGGGUCGACUCGUGCACCAGCCUCAGUCUGAUGGUACUCUGACCGGCCACUAUCCAAACCCGCUAAUGUUUUUCAGCCAGAGGCUGGAAUUACAUCAUUCAGCUUUUUCCCGGGUUCUGAGAGCCUAUGGGAGCCGUAGGAAGUGUCACGUUACAGCAAAGAUCCUCAGUUUUCAAUAAACAGAGCAAAGAAGAACAAGAACUUGUCAGACAGGACACUUCCUAUAAACUUGUUCCCAGUCAGUAACCAUGCCCAACUGAGCACAGACAUUGUGUCGGCGUGAUGGAACGCCCCUUUUUACCUGAGUAUAAAAGCCUUGCUAAUGAAAUUUACACCAGACCAAGCAGACGAAUGGUGUAAGCCGGACGUUACGAAUGGUUAAAACUACUGACCAAAACAUGCCGGGUUGCUGCUGACGUGUAAAGUGAUUGGGAGCUUGAACCUGAAGAAUCAACCUUGAGACCACUACCAGACCAGCCGACAUACAGCGCGAGCUGAACGUUACAAAUGGUUUAAACUCUGAGACCACUACGAGACCAAAAGACGAUAGACCGUGGUCUACCCAUUGAAAUGGUUAGAAACUCUGAAGCAAGUGUGAAGAUCACCUAGGAGGACCAGAAACAUUCACAGUUUAAAAGUGGUCCUCGAACUUUGACUUAAGUCACAAGGUGGGAAGGAGAAUCCCCACAUACAACCAUUGGUACAUCUGAAGUAACUGUUCUAACAAGCACUUCACUACCAGAGAAGCUCUACAACUGACAUUGUGACCUCUGGUGGACAAACCAGAGCCUCACACCUAUCCAGCCCCUUCCUCAUAGAAGGACCGAUUGGUUUCAACAGAGAGAUGACAGAGAAAGACAACUGUGUAAAUAUAUAUAUAUUGCAUUUCUUAUCCGAAUGAGCGGAGGUUCAUGUGCAAAGUAUUACUAUUCCUUUGAGCGUAGGUUCCAAAUGUAACAACGAUAAGUUUAGUCUCUUUGUCUCUACCUUUCUGUUUCUAUUGACCCCUCCCUUUUGUAACAAGCCAUCAUAUCUUGUCAGUCCACUUGGGACUUUUAUCGCAUGUAAGUGUUUGUGUGUUUAUGUAUUGUGUUAUUCUUUAGGUAGUUAGUAUAUAAAUAAUUAAGCCAAUUUGUGUAUUGCUGAUUCAUCAAUAAGGUUAGGGUUCUUGCAGAUAUCAAGAAGUAUGUGAUGUUCAGAAUGAGACUGAUAUGAGGUAAUGAUUUAAUAAGUGACUGUUAUUGAUGUAAGAGAUAUCUAUAUCUCUUUAGAGUUUAAGUCGGGAGAUAGUAACUAAUUAAACAACAUUUUCCUGUGGUGCCCC
rnacentral:lncRNA from 1 species